rnacentral:lncRNA from 1 species
CGGGGUGCGGGCAGGGGCCGGGUGCGGGCAGGGCCGCCUCUCCCCCGGCUUCCCGCCUAGUGAGCGCACCUUGGACAGCUGCGGCUUUUCCGAGCCGAAGCUCACGGGCUGUGGCCGGCUUCGUUUCGUGUAGUGCAGUUCCGCGACCGCCCGUGGCCACACCAUUCGGGGACUUCGUGCUUUACGAUGGGGGCGCAGUGGCCUGGCACACGCAGGACCCCGGGCCUCGAACCCUCGCGCUGGCCGCCCUGGACCCGCGGCGGGGACCCGCACAGUCAGGGUACCUGCCCAUACCGAUGGGCUGGGGACCACCACGGAGCCUUUCCUUGGCCCCGCGGCUUCUGUUCCUUUCGAGACGGACAGCGCCCACCCGGAGGAAAGCCUGACAGACGAGACUUCGCAAGGAUCAGCGAGAAGGCACAUGUGAAGCUCACCCAGGUUCUGUCUGUUUCUGCUCUCUUAUAAAGACCCCAUAUGGAGCCAGUGACAAGGAGGGCCAUGGGGAAGGCAGGAACCUGCCAGUUCAGGGAGGCCCAUCUUUCUAGAAGGUUAACAGGAACUUCCAGCCUCCAGCCUACUUAGUGACCGGCUGCUGGAGGACGGUGAGCGGCCCCUGCUGUCCACGUCUCCACGGGGGUCACCAAGCACACUCACAGGGUCCCCCUCUCCACCUGGAGCAGAGAAUUUGGAGGAGCCCGUCUUGCUGUCUUUUCUGAUGUUGUUAAACUAUGCUUGGGCCUGCCCGUUGCUCAGAGGAGCUUUCUACACAGCUGGACUUCUGAGGUGGGACCUGCCAUGUGCUAACGCCAGCACUCGGAGCAGUCUCUGCCACUGGCAACGUCCUGUCCUGAACAUCCCCAAUGUGACCUCUCUCCUGAAAGGCCUGUGUGCGACUUAUCUGUGAAGCUGGAAGAAAGUUCUGGAACUUCCCCUUCUCCUUUGGUGCAAAGUUACACUAACUGUCAUGAUGUUGUUGAUUUCCAUUUUUUUUUUUUGUUCUUGUUGAGACGGAGUCUCACUCUGUUGCCUGGGUUGGAGUGCAGUGGCGCGAUCUCGGCUCACUACGGCCUCCGCCUCCUGGGUUCAAGUGAUUCUCCUGCUUCAGCCUCCCAAGUAGCUGGGAUUACAGGCACCUGCCACCACAGCUGGCUGAUUUUGUAUUUGUAGUAGAGACAGGGUUUCACCAUGUUGACCAGGCUGGUCUUAAAUUCCUGACCUCAGGUGAUCUGCCCACCUCAGCCUCCCAAAGUGCUGGGAUUACAGGCGUGAGCCACUGUGCCCGGCCUUGAUU